CGGGGAAUAUUGCACAAUGGGCGCAAGCCUGAUGCAGCCAUGCCGCGUGUGUGAAGAAGGCCUUCGGGUUGUAAAGCACUUUCAGCGAGGAGGAAGGGUUCAGUGUUAAUAGCACUGUUCAUUGACGUUACUCGCAGAAGAAGCACCGGCUAACUCCGUGCCAGCAGCCGCGGUAAUACGGAGGGUGCAAGCGUUAAUCGGAAUUACUGGGCGUAAAGCGCACGCAGGCGGUUUGUUAAGUCAGAUGUGAAAUCCCCGCGCUUAACGUGGAACUGCAUUUGAAACU
rnacentral:rRNA from 1 species